UUGAAGUCGAUUCAUUAAAAUUUGUUCGAGUUAUCGUCGGACCAAAUUUUGUCUACAGACAUACAUACAGACAGACAUUUUUUUAAGACCCAUUUUUUCGGCAUCAGAAAGUCUCAAAACGUCGAGAUUUACUAAAAUUAGAGAAUGCUCAAAAUCGCCCAAAUGUAAUACCUUCUCAUUAUGAUGAGAAUGUAAAAAUAAAUUUUUAUUAAAAAUUUAAAAAAAAACAAAAAAUUCGGUAUUUUAUGAGUAAGUUACUUUAAUUUAUGUUAAUUUAAGGUGGUUUAAAGAGAAAUAAUACAUAGUUGCUCAUAUUUUCUCAAAAUAAAGUAAUUUCGCCCUGCAUUUUACCCAUUUUUCAUCCGUUUUUGUCAUUUUUUGUCUUUUUUUAAAAAAAUGGUAUAACUUUUUUGUUUUAAUCGCUAUUAAAAAUUGUCAAAGGAAGAAAGUGUUUAUUUUUAGUCGUAAUUUUCGAAAAAAAAUUGAAAAAAUUUUUUUUUUGAAAAAUGCGAAUUUUAGAACUUUUUAAAAACUAAAAAUUUGAAUUAUUUUGUUGUUUUUCAACGAAAUCAUCUGGCCAACGAACUCAGGCGAGAUUUUGGUACACUUAAGGUGUAUACCAAAUUUGAAGUCGAUUCAUUAAAAUUUGUUCGAGUUAUCGUCGGACCAAAUUUUGUCUACAGACAUACAUACAGACAGACAUUUUUUAAGACCCAUUUUUUCGGCAUCAGAAAGUCUCAAAACGUCGAGAUUUACUAAAAUUAGAGAAUGCUCAAAAUCGCCCAAAUGUAAUACCUUCUCAUUAUGAUGAGAAUGUAAAAAUAAAUUUUUAUUAAAAAUUUAAAAAAAAAAAAAAUUCUGUAUUUUAUGAGUAAGUUACUAUAAUUUAUGUUAAUUUAAGGUGGUUUAAAGAGAAAUAAUACAUAGUUGCUCAUAUUUUCUCAAAAUAAAGUAAUUUCGCCCUGCAUUUUACCCAUUUUUCAUCCGUUUUUGUCAUUUUUUGUCUUUUUUUAAAAAAGUGGUAUAACUUUUUUGUUUUAAUUGCUAUUAAAAAUUGUCAAAGGAAAAAAGUGUUUAUUUUUAGUCGUAAUUUUCGAAAAAAAAUUGAAAAAAUUUUUUUUUUGAAAAAUGCGAAUUUUAGAACUUUUUAAAAACUAAAAAUUUGAAUUAUUUUGUUGUUUUUCAACGAAAUCAUCUGGCCAACGAACUCAGGCGAGAUUUUGGUACACUUAAGGUGUAUACCAAAUUUGAAGUCGAUUCAUUAAAAUUUGUUCGAGUUAUCGUCGGACCAAAUUUUGUCUACAGACAUACAGGCAGACAGACAUUUUUUUAGGACCCAUUUUUUCGGCAUCAGAUAGUCUCAAAACGUCGAGAUUUACUAAAAUUAGAGAAUGCUCAAAAUCGCCCAAAUGUAAUACCUUCUCAUUAUGAUGAGAAUGUAAAAAUAAAUUUUUAUUAAAAAUUAAAAAAAAAAAAAAAU